CUCGCCGACGUCGACGCCCGCACGAGCCCCGUCGGCCCCGAAGGCCGCGGGGUCGAGACGGACGCGACCGUCGUUCGUGUCGAGGGACAAACGCGUAGCCCGGGCCGGCGGAGGCCGAGACCCCCGCGCCCGCGCGAGACGUUCCGCAUCCGAGAGAACGGGCAACGACGCCGUGCGCCUAGGCAGCCCACGCCGCCGGGCGGGGCAUGCCAGGAAACACGGAGCCUGCCUGAGGUCCGCCCCACACCCGCAGAGGGCGUCGGGCGGAGAGGGGCAACCGAACGAUCGAAUUCCCUUUCGUAG
rnacentral:misc_RNA from 1 species